rnacentral:lncRNA from 1 species
AUGCCGCUUUGAGGACCAGUGACCCUCAGGGACUUAGCAAAAUGCCAUCUUCAAAACAACUUGUCAAGAUCCUCACGGGCAGUCAGUGUCAUGUUUUAUAUCGCGUACAACCUGCAGCACAGGGCGCAGCAGGCGUGAGUGCCACUGUCUAGGGACUCUCCAUACCCUCCAGCCUUCAGACGCAGGAACGGGAAUCUCAGCCAGCUGUCUCCUCUGUCCCAGGUUUCUCUCCAGUCUCACCUGAGGUCGAAAAGUCCGAAUGAAGUAGGUGAUAGUCCAUUGAUCUGAAGGGCAUAGUGGCUCAUGGGAUUUUGCUGAGUCUACACCAGGUGUCAAAGAGUCUGGUGCCCAAACCUUGGCAAGUGCACGUGACUGAUUACCUCAUUGUCAGAAAAUGUGGGAGCCCGGCAGCGCUUGGGACCACCUGGCUCAGACUCUUCAUUCCAGACCAGACCACUGAGGCCCGGGAAGCGGGGUCCACUUACAGGACGUCGGAAGGCAGUGGGCAGGAACUGGGCUCCUUCCUGCCGGGCCAGCUUUUCGGAGGCUGGCACUGGGGCUUCGGGACUUGAGGACCUGAUCGCUGCGCAGGCCACGCGCCACCCGCAGAGGGCACCCGCGGUCCGCCGCGUUCCAGGGCGCGGGCUCUGGGGCUGGCCUCUCUGGCGCGCGAGGGUUUGCUGAGAUUUAACAGAGGGCCGUUACACUCACAGUGGCGCCGUUCACACUGAGAUGAGACAGGUGGAAAAGAGAGCUCGCCCUUCUUGCAUUGUCACACGGAGCGGCCCUCUCCCUGUGCAGCGUGGAGUCCCCUGGGCGCGGGCGAGGCUCAGGCGGGACGCGGCGGAGACCGAGCUUGUCCCUGUGUGGACCCGGGCAACUGCCGGUGGGCGAGGCCUGGAUGGUGGCCAGGCCGCAGCCACCCGGACGUUUGCGAGCGCCGAAGUCCCGCAGGGAAGCUGGGCUGGGCGAGAGGGUGUCUCCUGGGUCCACCGUGGAAGCCCGAGGCGCGGGUGCGGAGCCAGCCCAGGGCUGCCGGCGUGAGCUGCAGGGCUGGCCUGGUGCUCAUCCUCUGCCCGGGGCGCGGGAAAGGCGAGGGACGCUGUGCUGGAUCUGUGUGCUCAGUGGCCAUGCGUCGGCCUCAGGACUGGGAACGAGGCGAGAGACACAGAUGUGCAGGAUCUGCGCUUGCAGCCACCUUACUUCGUGGGCUGUACCUGAGGUGACAGGCAGGGUCUUCUCUGAUGAAGUUACCCACACGAGUCACCACGGGAUGACGGUGAGCAGGUGCCACGGAAGGUCUUCAAGUCUUUAACUGAGCCUUGCGUCUACUGGCCCUGCUCUCCUGCAAACUAUUUGACCGUAGGAUUUCCCUUCACCACAACAUGUGAGGAGCAAAGGAGACAAAGUGAGGGGAGUCAAAGGGUGGUGUUGGUAGAGAGAGAAGAGUCAGUUGCUCCUGUAUUCCUGCUUUUUGAGGAGCCAAUAAAAUGUUUUUUUUAGGCGGAAGGUAGUUACUGGGCCUUCUACUCAUUCAUGAUCAAACCUGGACAAAAACCUGAAGUGCUGCCUCUGCUUCUCAUC